rnacentral:rRNA from 1 species
GAUGAACGCUGGCGGCGUGCAUAACACAUUCAAGUCGAACGAAGCAUUUGAAUUGGAGACUUCGGUCAAAGAUUUAUUUGACUUAGUGGCGGACGGGUGAGUAACGCGUGAGCAACUUGCCCUUGCGUGGGGGAUAACGUUUGGAAACGAACGCUAAUACCGCAUAAUGUACCGAGAUUGCAUGGUUUUGGUACCAAAGAUUUAUUGCGCAAGGAUGGGCUCGCGUCUGAUUAGGUAGUUGGUGGGGUAACGGCCUACCAAGCCGACGAUCAGUAGCCGGACUGAGAGGUUGAACGGCCACAUUGGAACUGAGAUACGGUCCAGACUCCUACGGGAGGCAGCAGUGGGGAAUAUUGGGCAAUGGGCGAAAGCCUGACCCAGCGACGCCGCGUGAGGGAAGACGGUCUUCGGAUUGUAAACCUUUGUUGAUAGGGACGAAGAAAUGACGGUACCUAUCGAGGAAGCCACGGCUAACUACGUG